rnacentral:rRNA from 1 species
UACGUAGGUGACCAGCGUUGUCCGGAUUUACUGGGCGUAAAGAGCGCGCAGGCGGUCGUUCAAGUCGAGUGUGAAAGCCCCCGGCUCAAUUGGGGAGGGUCAUUCGAUACUGAUCGACUUGAAGGCAGGAGAGGGAAGUGGAAUUCCCGGUGUAGUGGUGAAAUGCGUAGAUAUCGGGAGAAACACCAGUGGCGAAGGCGACUUCCUGGCCUGUUCUUGACGCUGAGGCGCGAAAGCUAGGGGAGCAAACGGG